rnacentral:rRNA from 1 species
CCUACGGGAGGCAGCAGUAAGGAAUAUUGGACAAUGGRCGCAAGACUGAUCCAGCCAUUCCGCGUGCAGGAUGACGGCCCUAUGGGUUGUAAACUGCUUUUAUUUGGGAAGAAACCUUGGGAUUUAUCCCGGGCUGACGGUACCAAAAGAAUAAGCACCGGCUAAUUCCGUGCCAGCAGCCGCGGUAAUACGGAAGGUGCAAGCGUUAUCCGGAAUCACUGGGUUUAAAGGGUGCGUAGGCGGAUACUUCAGUCAGAAGUGAAAGCUCACAGCUUAACUGUGGAAUUGCCUUUGAUACUGCGUAUCUUGAAUCCAGUUGAGGUUGGCGGAAUGUGACAUGUAGCGGUGAAAUGCAUAGAUAUGUCAUAGAACACCAAUUGCGAAGGCAGCUGACUAAACCUGCAYUGACGCUGAGGCACGAAAGCGUGGGGAGCGAACAGGAUUAGAUACCCUGGUAGUCCACGCCCUAAACGAUGCUUACUCGAUGUGUGAAUUAUUGCGCAUCCAACGGAAACCGAUAAGUAAGCCACCUGGGGAGUACGUUCGCAAGAAUGAAACUCAAAUGAAUUGACGG